rnacentral:lncRNA from 1 species
GAAGGACUUCCGGUGGCUUCCAAGGCGACUCCGUAGUGGAUGCAGCGCCGGACGCCACAGCCGAAAAACAGAAUCUUGGAACUGGUUUAGUACAAUCCAGGUCGAGUUCCUUGUUUUUUAUCCGAGUGGCCGGCAGGCCCAUGUGCUGUCUUGUUUUUAACACAUCAGCUCUUGCCGGAAGCCGCUAAGAGAUAAAAUAGGAAGUCCCACCCUUCCCUUAGAGAAGGAAAACGGAGAGCCGAAGGAGUCAAUCUAAAUUCGAUGAGCGCGUCGGGCUCCAAGGCAGGCGCUGUCAGCCCGGGAGGGCUGUCUGGGAUUUCUAGAGGGUCCCAGAACGGGUUCUUCCCAGGCCGAUCCCGCCUGCUUCCUGCCCCGUCUCUCCACCCGCCUCCCGCCCUCUGUAAGGGACCCCGAGGGCGGCGCCGGAAACACGGAGAAGGCCCAGAACGGCGCGGGACCCGAGAGGCCUACGUUGGCAAACGCAGCCCGCUGCCCCUUUGCUCGCUUCCCCCGGGCCUGGAGUGGCUCCUGUCGCUUCUGGCGCUCCGAUUUCGAGAAAUGACUUUCAGCUGUGCAAGGCGAGAAUGCUACUUUAGAUGAUGAGAAAAAAUCUCUCGAAUGGCUCCCAAAAUGAGGUCCUUGUUUAAGAGGCCACAGGAAGCCGCUAGCCGAACUCUGAUACCAAAGAGGAGGCCAAGAAGCGGACUGUGGCUUGGUGACCUGUUUGGUAUUGCCAAAUUUUCAGCUUUUAUUAAAGCUGAAACACCUUGGCUGUUUAAAACGUUCGACAAGGACUUUUUUAUGAACGUUAACGGCACAGCAUACGGGUUUUUUGGAAAAAAAAAAAGGCAGGACUUCAGCCCGUCCGCCCCCUUGUGCAGGUCCAUUCAUGAACCUCGAGUUAGAGGCCUUUCUUCUGAAACUCAGAAUCUAGUAGGGAAGACCUGUGUAGACGAAUAAAAAUAAAUACAUCACAGCUUGUUAAGUGCUGUGACAAAGAGGCAGUGAAAUCCUGCUUGAGGUCAUCUGCCUUGCUAAAGAGGUUUGACUAUGUUGUAGGCACAGGGUUAGGGUUAGACUCUGUAAUGGGAAGUUAUGUGAUCAGAUUUCUGUUUAGGAAGAUCACUGGCCAGGCGGGGUGGCUUACGCCUGUAAUCCCAAUACUUUGGGAGGCCGAGUCGGUGGAUUGCUUGAGGCUAGGAUUUUGAGACCAGCCUGGGGAAACCGCGUCUCUACUAAAAAUUUGAAAUUAGCCAGGCAUGGUGGUGCGAGCCUGUAAUUCCAGCUACUUGGAGGCUGAGGCGGGAGAAUAGCUUGAACCCAGUGGCGGAGGCUGCAGUGAGCCGAGAUUGCGCCACUGCACUCCAGCCUGGGCGACAGAGCGAGAUUCCGUCUCAAAAAAAUCAUUGUAAGUAAUUGGAUUUUUGUGUGUGUGUGAUGUUCUGAAGAUAGGCUUUCUAGGCCAAAUCGUCACUCAAGGCCAAUUCGAACACAAUUCAGUUUAAAUCAGAAUACAUUCGAGUGAUAAUUCCUUACCUUUUUAAAUAGUUCAUAGAAAACUUUUUGUAGACAUUAUCUGGUUUAAUUCUGAUUGUAAUCCACAUGAAUUCUCUUAUCCACAGUAAGGAACAGUAAUUUAGAAGACUAAUAAACUGUUCCAAGAUCACACAGCUAGUAAAAGUGGAACUCAACCUAAAACUCCAGAGUCAAGCUUUUCCAUCAUGUAGACUCAGUUUAAUAGUAAUAGUUAAUUAAAAAUUCUAGAGAAAAAUGUGGGAAACAAUUUCCUCACAAGUGACCAGCUGCAAAUGUUAUUUGUAUUCCAUUAACCAACAUUUAUUGGGUGCCUGUUAUAUAAAAGAUAAAACUGGGUUCUGCCUUCAAAGAGUUCACUUGAAAUUUAAAAUUUAUGUGAAAAUUUAGCACUUCCUACAGUGUUUUAAUAGCUAUUUCAACAGUGUUGGUGUUGUAUGACAAGGUGAUAAAUUUCUUGACAAUAACAAUAGCACAAUUCUGUAUAUGGAUUGGGCAUUCUGUGAUCUUUGGGUGAUUUAUCUUGCUACCUUUCUUACCUUGGGGGUUUAGUUAACACUUAUGUUCCUCCCCUGAGCAGUGAAGUAAAAUCUAAGUUUAUGUUUCAGUUCUAUUUUGAGUAUUUUGAGUUACUAAGACAGGACCUUAAGGAAGUCAGUUUGACCUCAUUUCCAACUGAGAGAGUCCAUAGAUGUCAUUCAAGACUAAUUUUCUGAUUCUAAGGAAAAAGGGAAGUCUUUUUUUUUCUUCCUCUCUUUAUUUUUGAAUGAAUAAUGCUUGACAUGGACAACACAGACUUUUAGUGAAGACAGAGAGUCCUAGUGAUGAAACCACCUUUGCAAAAAUUACAACUGAGAAAAUUAUGACAGUGAAAGAGAUCUGACCUAACCAAUUCCAUCUUGCUUCUAAACUCUGUCCUUGUUCAUUCCUGGGCAUAGGCAGAACUAACUCUGGAAGGAACUUAGUUUAUAGUGUAACUUUGAAACAAAGAUGAUAACAGCUCAUUCUGAAAACAAACCCCUUUCUGGCCUGGGGACCAGACUGCCUUUUUAGGGCUAGCAAAUUAGCCACAAGAUUAGAAAUUACAGUUUAGGAAUAAUGCAGCUAGAGGCCACAAGAUUCUAAACCUCCCCAAUUGUUCCUAAGGAUAAUAUCACUAUUGUAAAACCCAAGAUUGGUGCUUAAGAUGUUUUUCAGACCCCGCACUCAUGGAUCAGCUGGCAUCACUCAGAUGGAUAAACUGGCUCAUCUAGUCCUGUAGCCCCCACCCAAGAACUGACUCAGUGCAAGAGGACAGUUUCAACUCCCUAUGAUUUCAUGUCACACCAGAGCCAUCAAUUCUCCCCGCUCCCUGGUCUCCUACUCCCCCAAAUUAUCCUUUAAAAAUCCCAGUCUCUGAAUUUUCAGGAGACUGCUUUAAGUAAUAAUAAAACUCUGGUCUCCUGUUUAGCCAGCUCUGUGUGAAUUAAACUCUUUAUUGCAAUUCCUUUGUCUUGAUGAAUCCACUGUCUGGGCAGCGGGCAAGAUGAACCCGUUGGGUGGUUACAAUGACACCAGGAACCCCUGGGAUCAAGACUUGCUCGAAGCCAGCCACACUUGAGACCUGUUAACCAAAAAAAAAAAAAAAAAUCCUUUUCUUAUUUAAGUCCAGUUUUCUUUUACUUGCAUCAUGAAGCAACCUAAAUGAUAACAGAAGUUUUAUUGCCAAAUAUACCAGUUACAGUCUUAAGAAAGUCGCAAAGGAAAAACUCAGAGCAAAGAUUUUCAGUCUUCAUAAGUUCAAAAUGUAUACUUUUAUCAUGUCUGAGAAAAGAAAGCAAUCAAUAUAUUCACAUCUUUUUCUGGGUAUAUGUGAUAUUUUUCCAUUGGAUAAUGAAUAGUAAACACUUUUACAAUAGCAAGUUGACAAAAUGAGAAUGUAUAAAAGAAAUUAAAAUAUAUCAACUAUUAAAUAAAUGCCAGGCAUUAUGCAACAAACCUUAUAUGCAUUAUUUCAAAUAAUUAUUAUAACUACUCUGAAUAGACACAUUAUUUCCAUUUUACAGAUGAGAAAAAUGAGGUUCAAAGAAGUGAUGUCAUGUUCUCUGAUUCUGUCUAUAUUGGAUACCUGGUGACGAUCUCCCCCUGUCUAAUACCCUAAACAUACGUUCACCUGCAUGCUGCUUCUGUUCUGGACCUUUGCGCUGGAUGUAGUCCCAACAGAGUGGCUUGCUGGGAGGAGGGAGAUACUUUUCAGAUAAGGCACUAGCACUUCAUCCUAACAACUUCUCCAUACUGAGGCAACAUUUUUAAAUACACAGAGAAUGCCUAGGAUUCAAUUGUUGAGAAAAAUUGAUCCAACGAGUGGAUAAAGAAAAUGUGAUAUAUAUGCACUAUGGAAUACUAAGCCAUAAGAAGGAAUGAAAUAAUGGCAUUUGCAGCAACCUAGAUGGAGUUGGAGACCAUUAUUCUAAGUGAAGUAACUCAAGAAUGGAAAACCAAAUAUUGUAUGUUCUCACUCGUAAGUGGGAGCUAAGCUGCGAAGAUGCAAAGGCAUAAGAAUGAUAUAGUGGACUUUGAGGACUCAAGGGUUGAAGGAUGAGACUACACAUUGGGUACAGUGUGCACUGCUUGGGUGAUGAGUGCACCAAAAUCUCAGAACUCACCACUGAAGAACUUCCCCAUGUAACCAAAAACCACCUGUUCCACAGAAACUAUCGAAAUAACAUUUUUAAAACUUUACUAUUUCUGAAUAAAAUUUACAUACAUUUCUCAGAAAAAAAAAUAUUUGGAAUUGAGGUAUCUAAUAGAGAACUGAGUUAAAUUAUUGCCACUUAAAAACACAAAGUGAUAUAGCCACUUUAUGAAUUAAUCAGUCAGCAGUGGCUAGGUUAUGCUUAGUGGUUUAUAACCAAAUCUUAGUUUAUAACAACAAAUGUGUAUUGUUAAUUCCCACUACAAGUUUAUAACGACAUUGCUGGAUGCUACACUCCAUGUCUCUUUGUGGGACCCAGGCUCAUGGGACUUCUGUUACCUGCAUUAGAGAGAGAGAAGACAACAAAAUAUGCACUGGUUCUUGAAGCUUUGGCCCAGAAGUAAAAUAUGUCUUUUACCUGUUCACAUUGCAUUGGGCCAGGGCAAUUAUCAUGGCUGCAAGUAACUUCAAAAGGAUGGGGAAGUGCGAUCUUGGCAUGUGUCAGAAGAAAUGAAAACAUUUGGUGAAGAGCAUUAAUGACUGUCUUUACAGGAAAAAAGCAAUCAAAUAGACAUGAUUGCUUGUUUCAGUUUCAUCAUUUCCUACUGUGUUACCUAAACUUUCUGAGCCCCAGUUUCUUAUUACUAAAAUAAAAUAAAGAUGAUAUUCACUUCAAGGACUUUGUGUUAACUAGGGUAAAAAAAUUGAAAACUAGUAAGUUAUGCAAAUUAGAAAUGUAUAAUAUUACUGCUUUGAAAGUGAUGGUGAAAUGUAGAAUAAUUGGAAGGAUAACACAAAGCACUUAUACCAGGAGGCUUUUAGCUGCAGAUAAUAGAAAUGAACCUCCACUACUUUAAUCAAUAAAAAAGUGUAUCAGCUCACAAAUUUGUCAUCCAGACAUAAAGGAGGCUUCAGAAUUUAUUGACUCAGGAGUUGAAUGUUGGUAUCAAGGACCUAGAUUUUUCUCAUCACUCUGCACUUCAAUUCUCAAUGCCCUAUUGAACAUCAGGCUGUAGUAAGAUGGCUAGAGUGAUUCCAGGGAUAACAUCUAGAGAUAAAAAAGAGAACUCCUUUUCUUAUGAUUUUUUUCUUAAGAGAAAAGGAAUUUCCCAAAAGCCCCCAGCAAGCAUGCCUUCACAUCCCAUGGCCAGAAGUGGCUCACAUGUGUACCCUGAGCUAAGCACUGCAGACAGGAAUGGAAUCGCCUGUAGGCCUCAGAGACCACCUGGAUCUUGGGAAGGUGUCAGCUCUACCUGUGGCACUUGGCUGAGUGGGAAAGGGAUGGAAACAUGAAUAAAGUAAGAAUUAGGAAGGAAAAGGAGAAAUGGAUCCAGGGUAUGAAGCCAAUAGUUUAGUUAUCUCAACAAAUAUGAUUGAUUUCAUCUUUAUGAAUGUGAUGACCUAAUUUAAUACAUUCAAUCAAUGAAGUAAAAAAAAGUGCAAGGACAAUAUGACAUCUGUCAUUCUCUGUUGAGAUUUGAGAGGUAAUAAUACCAAGAACGUGUGGUGACCUGGGUCCUCACUGCUACUGUCUUCCUGUACCUGGACACUUCUAGCAAGAGACUUCAACUUCAGAACAAAGAGGAUCCCAACUUGUAGCUGCAUUAUACACACCCCAGCAGCACACAUAAGUUGAUUUCUAAUUAUUCCUCUUUAAGAAAUUGUUUGUGGAAUAUUUAUCUAUUUAUAAAUGGAAAAAUAGAAAAUUAAAAUAACAAAAAUAAGUAACACCAUGUAUUGAGUGUCUACUGCGUGCUAGGCACUG